GUGCUCACUUUGGUAGCACAAAUUCUAAAACUGAAAUAAUUCAGAGAAGAUUAUUAUGGUCUGUAUGCAAGGAUGAUACAAAGAAUUCAUGAGGUGCAUUGGUCUUUG
ensembl:snRNA U6 U6 spliceosomal RNA